GCUAAUGUAAUUUAAAUAUAGAAUAUUAAUUUGUGGGAUUAAUAGUGCAGUAAGUAAUAUUGCUUUUAGCA
rnacentral:tRNA from 1 species